rnacentral:rRNA from 1 species
GAUGAACGCUGGCGGCGUGCCUAAUACAUGCAAGUCGAGCGAACGGACGAGGAGCUUGCUCCUCUGACGUUAGCGGCGGACGGGUGAGUAACACGUGGAUAACCUGCCUAUAAGACUGGGAUAACUUCGGGAAACCGGAGCUAAUACCGGAUAAUAUAUUGAACCGCAUGGUUCAAUAGUGAAAGACGGUUUUGCUGUCACUUAUAGAUGGAUCCGCGCCGCAUUAGCUAGUUGGUAAGGUAACGGCUUACCAAGGCAACGAUGCGUAGCCGACCUGAGAGGGUGAUCGGCCACACUGGAACUGAGACACGGUCCAGACUCCUACGGGAGGCAGCAGUAGGGAAUCUUCCGCAAUGGGCGAAAGCCUGACGGAGCAACGCCGCGUGAGUGAUGAAGGUCUUCGGAUCGUAAAACUCUGUUAUUAGGGAAGAACAAAUGUGUAAGUAACUAUGCACGUCUUGACGGUACCUAAUCAGAAAGCCACGGCUAACUACGUG